rnacentral:lncRNA from 1 species
AUUAAAUUGGUAUGUAGCAUGGAUACUAGUGUUAUAAAGAACGCAAUCUAAAGUUAGGAAAUGGUAUCUACCUUUUAGAAACCCACAAUAUAACCAGAAAGGCAAACAGCCACACAAGAAAAGUUGAAGUAUUUUUAUUUUUGUCACAGACAGAAAUGUUUGGGAGGAGUCACAGCAACAAGAGACACUGCUCUGGAGCUGUUUGCUGGAACUAAUAGAUACAGGAAGAAUUUGUAAUGUUAUAAAUACCCCUGAGCAUACCUUCCUCUCAACAGGACUCAAGCUGCAAUUUUACUUUCGCAACAACAGGAG